GGGGGUAUAGUAUAACCUGGCAGUACCGCGGGCUCCAAAUGCCCAUGCAAUUUGUAAUUGCACAUAAGAAGCGGAAGACACCCGCUGAUCUGGGUUCAAAUCCCAGUGCCCCCA
rnacentral:tRNA from 1 species